CGAGAUCACCCGAGCGCAGCGCGUCGAUCU
rnacentral:antisense_RNA from 1 species